rnacentral:rRNA from 1 species
UACGAAGGGGGCUAGCGUUGUUCGGAAUUACUGGGCGUAAAGCGCGCGUAGGCGGAUUAACAAGUUGGAUGUGAAAUCCCAAUGCUCAACAUUGGAACUGCAUUCAAAACUGUUAGUCUAGAGGCCAGGAGAGGUCAGUGGAAUACCGAGUGUAGAGGUGAAAUUCGUAGAUAUUCGGUGGAACACCAGUGGCGAAGGCG